CUUGCUGACUAAUUAUGAAAGAAAGGGGCAAGGUAUUAAGAAUGUAUACGGUGCUACUUCAAUCAAUUAAGUUUUACUUUUUUGGUCAUUAUCUUUAUUUUAUAUGUAAAAUGUGGAUAUGGAUGGAAAGAUUUAAUAUAUGCUCUUUUUUUAUUUGUAGACAUACUUAUAUGUCCAACCAUUUCUUUAGGAAUUUACUCUAAUUGUUCCCGUAUCAUGGAAGAUGAAGAGUUUCCAAAUCCUUGGUAAAAUGCCUUGACUUUGUAUUAAUAUAUACUAUGUGUACUAUUUAACUCCUCUGUGAUUCAAAAACGUUUGAUACACUCGCCAAUUAGAACUUUUGGAUCCUUACUCGCUUUAACAAUUGUAUUGCUGAGUGAGGUAAGUGACGUCAAACCAAGGAAAAUGAUUGAUUUCAGAUUCUCUAAUUUUCAAGCCUUCAGGUACAAUUUCACACCCUUUUCAAGCUUUUAAGAUUUGUAGGAACUGUAGUAUUCUAUUUUGGAUGAUGUUGUAUUAGUAUUUAGUAGUUAUUCUUAGAUAGAAGUUAUGCUUUUAGUAUGAUCUAAAUUUCUUCUGUUAUUUUUGUAUUGUUUGAAUUGCAACUUCUGAUAUAUUAGCAGACUGGCAGACGAUACCAAAACACCAUAGUUUAUCAUAUUCAUAAUUACAAUUCUGCAAUUGAAAGGAUGAUCAUACAGUAGGAGACUAAUGAUGUUUGGAAAUGAUUUAGGAACAACAUAUAGUGAGUUGAUGUUCUCCAUGGUACAUUGGAUUGUUCAGAAGUUGCGACACCAAUAGAAUAUGAAUGAUAAACUGUAAAUGCAGAAUGUUCCUAACAACUUUGAGCAUUCUCCCUUUUUUUUCUUACUUUUUGAUUGUUUUGUUUGGGUGCAAUUUUUUUGAGUUGUGCCAACAACUCCUAUGCUAUGAUUUUUUGAAUGAAGAAGAUUAGCUACUACGAAGCGAACUCCGGCAUCCUCUACAUAUGAUAAACAAUGACAUGCUAAUCUUAUAUAUCAAAACUGAAACAUCUUUUAUA